CCAGUAGUCAUAUGCUUGUCUCAAAGAUUUAAGCCAUGCAUGUCUAAGUAUAAAUAACUACACAGUGAAACUGCGAAUGGCUCAUUAGAACAGUUAUAGUUUAUUUGAUAUAUUAAAUGGAUAACUGUAGGAAACUAGAGCUAAUACAUGCCUAGGCCGUAAGGCUGCAUUUAUUAGAUAAACCAAGAAGGUGAAUCAUAAUAACUUUGCAAAUCGAAACUACGUUUCGAUACAUCAUUCAAGUUUCUGACCUAUCAUGCUCUCGAUGGUAGUGUAUUGGACUACCAUGGCAGUCACGGGUAACGGAGAAUUAGGGUUCGAUUCCGGAGAAGGAGCCUGAGAAACGGCUACUACAUCUAAGGAAGGCAGCAGGCGCGUAAAUUACCCAAUCCUAAAUCAGGGAGG
rnacentral:rRNA from 1 species